GGUUACUGCUAUCGGUGUUCGCCUAAGCCAUGCGAGUCAUAUGUUCGUAAGAACAUGGCGUACUGCUCAGUAACACGUGGAUAACCUGCCCUUGGGUCCGGCAUAACCCCGGGAAACUGGGGAUAAUUCCGGAUAACGCACAUAUGCUGGAAUGCUUUAUGCGUAAAAUGGAUUCGUCUGCCCAAGGAUGGGUCUGCGGCCUAUCAGGUAGUAGUGGGUGUAGUGUACCUACUAGCCUACGACGGGUACGGGUUGUGAGAGCAAGAGCCCGGAGAUGGAUUCUGAGACAUGAAUCCAGGCCCUACGGGGCGCAGCAGGCGCGAAAACUUUACAAUGCGGGAAACCGUGAUAAGGGGACACCGAGUGCCAGCAUCCUAUGCUGGCUGUCCGGGUGUGUAAAAUACACCUGUUAGCAAGGGCCGGGCAAGACCGGUGCCAGCCGCCGCGGUAACACCGGCGGCCCGAGUGGUGAUCGUGAUUAUUGGGUCUAAAGGGUCCGUAGCCGGUUUGGUCAGUCCUCCGGGAAAUCUGACAGCUUAACUGUUAGGCUUUCGGAGGAUACUGCCAGACUUGGAACCGGGAGAGGUAAGAGGUACUACAGGGGUAGGAGUGAAAUCUUGUAAUCCCUGUGGGACCACCUGUGGCGAAGGCGUCUUACCAGAACGGGUUCGACGGUGAGGGACGAAAGCUGGGGGCACGAACCGGAUUAGAUACCCGGGUAGUCCCAGCCGUAAACGAUGCUCCCUAGGUGUCAGGCAUGCCGCGACCGUGUCUGGUGCCGCAGGGAACCCGUGAACCGAGCCACCUGGGAAGUACGGCCGCAAGGUUGAAACUUAA
rnacentral:rRNA from 1 species